rnacentral:rRNA from 1 species
UACGUAGGGUGCAAGCGUUAAUCGGAAUUACUGGGCGUAAAGCGUGCGCAGGCGGUUAUGUAAGACAGGUGUGAAAUCCCCGGGCUUAACCUGGGAACUGCAUUGUGUACUGCAUAGCUAGAGUACGGUAGAGGGGGAUGGAAAUUCCGCGUGUAGCAGUGAAAUGCGUAGAGAUGUGGAGGAACACCAGUGGCGAAGGCGGCUUUCUGGUCGUGUAAACUGACGCUGAGGCGCGAAAAGCGUGGGGGAGCAAACAGG